GACGAACGCUGGCGGCGCGCUUAACACAUGCAAGUCGAGCGAGAACCAGGGCUUCGGCCCUGGGGAAAGCGGCGAACGGGUGAGUAACACGUGAGUAACCUGUCCUCGGCACCGGGAUAGCCCGGGGAAACCCGGAUUAAUACCGGAUGGCCUUUCGAGUCCUCGGACUCGUCAGAAAAGGGAGCUUCGGCCUCCGGCCGAGGAGGGACUCGCGGCGGAUUAGCUUGUUGGUGAGGUAACGGCUCACCAAGGCGACGAUCCGUAGCUGGUCUGAGAGGACGAUCAGCCACACUGGGACUGAGACACGGCCCAGACUCCUACGGGAGGCAGCAGUGGGGAAUCUUGCGCAAUGGGCGAAAGCCUGACGCAGCGACGCCGCGUGCGGGAAGAAGGCC
rnacentral:rRNA from 1 species